rnacentral:piRNA from 1 species
UAGCAAAGUCCAAUUACUCUUUCUCUUUAC